UUUUUGGUUUUUUAAAGACAUUUGCUUAUUCAUUUCCGAUUGCAAUAACAUUUUCAGAUAUAUUUGGUUAUAUAGCUAGAGUAGAGGGAGCAUCUAUGCAACCUUCAUUGAAUCCUGACCCAAUAGAAAAACUCGCCUAGAAAUCCCAACCAAAAAUUGAUUAAACGCGUAAUAGGAAUUGAAAACGAAAUUAUACAAACACCACUUUACAAAAGCACGAUAAUAAAAAUACCAAUUGGUCAUUGUUGGGUCGAAG